rnacentral:rRNA from 1 species
GACGAACGCUGGCGGCGUGCUUAACACAUGCAAGUCGAACGGAAAGGCCCUGCCUUUGUGGGGUGCUCGAGUGGCGAACGGGUGAGUAACACGUGAGUAACCUGCCCUUGACUUUGGGAUAACUUCAGGAAACUGGGUCUAAUACCGGAUAGGAGCUCCUGCUGCAUGGUGGGGGUUGGAAAGUUUCGGCGGUUGGGGAUGGACUCGCGGCUUAUCAGCUUGUUGGUUGGGUAGUGGCUUACCAAGGCUUUGACGGGUAGCCGGCCUGAGGGGGUGACCGGACAAAUUGGGACUGAGAUACGGCACAGACUCCUACGGGAGGCAGCAGUGGGGAAUAUUGCACAAUGGGCGGAAGCAUGAUGCAGCAACGGCGCGUGCGGGAUGACGGCCCUCGGGUUGUAAACCGCUUUCGCCUGUGACGAAGCGUGAGUGACGGUAAUGGGUAAAGAAGCACCGGCUAACUACGUG